rnacentral:lncRNA from 1 species
GAGGAGUACCAUUUCCUAGGUUUGGGACUUUAUUAAGUAGGGUGGAGAAAGUGAGCUAAGCAUUAAGCAUGGAUGCAGUAAUUUCUCUUUGUUCUUGGCAGCUCCAUACAGGAUCCUGUCCUGGAAUUAGGAGGUCAAGUAAACUCUUUCUCCUUUAAAGUUGCCUUUGUUAGGAUGUUUCAUCACAGCAACAGUAAAAAGACAAGCUGGUCAAAUUUAAUCCCUUCUAUUAAAGAGACUCCAGGUCAAGACUGAGGUCUUAUGCUUAUGACUUGAGCCUUGAUUUGCCUUCCCUGUUGUGUUACUGUUUCAAAUAUUGUGUCCCAGUGUUUCCUCAAUCCUGACUACCUGUUGAAACUUUACAUGUGUCCACUUGGGAGUCCUGGUUUAGCCCAAAACAAAAUAGAAAGAUAGAAAAGUGGAACCAGGAAAGCUAGAGAAAUGACUUAGCAGUUAGGAAUACUUGUUCUUGAAAUGGAGCUGGGUUCAAUUUCCAGCACAUCCCCAUGACAGCUCACACUGUAACUCCAGUUCUAGAGGGAUCUGAUACCCAUUUUUCUGACUUCCCAGUAUACCAGGCAUAAACAUGAAAGAAACAUAUAUGCAAAGUAAAUCUAAAAAGAAAAAUAGUUUAAUUAAAAGGGAUUUAAUUAAAUUAAAUUGGAGGAGGUGAGGGCUGGGGGGCUGGAAGGAGGACAUGAGAGUGAUCAGAGCAUAUUAUAUACACAUAUGAAAUUAUUAAAAGACUCAAGGAUUUUUGGACUUAAAAAUGGAAGUCAAUGUAACUAGAGUAAUACUAGCCAUAUAUGAAAAAAAAUGCUUGGUAGCACAGUGGAUGUCUAAUUGUUGAGAAGGAAAUCAAGUUUAACUAAAAUGUAAAUAAAAAUCUGUUAUAAGCUAUGACCCAGAUUCAAGGAAGUGAGUGUUCACCUAUUGUUUAUGCCAGCCAUAUCAUUAGUUCUAUUUCCACGAUCGUUCUCUUGCUGUGACCACAUGUAUUUUAAUAAGUAAUUGUAAUUAUAAUGUACAUACAAUUUUUUGUAGAGAAUGGCCCUCCACCUGGCUCUGUAUUGUAUGUAUUCCCCAAUUGCUGAUAUUUUUUUGUAAUUAUUUUCAGUGUCUUCACAGUUUGCAUUGACAUGCUGCUCUACCAUUUAAUUGACCACUCCUCUGUGGAAUAAAUUGCAUUUUCCCUUGAGUUAUUUUCUUAAGGACAAAUAAUUAAGGAGUGAGGUCACACAAUCAAAGAGAAUAUUUUUCUGGCAAAGAAAUAUUUUUAACCCUACUAAUUUAAUAUUAGUACUUUGAAAUAUGUUUAUUUUUGCUCUUUCUUCUGACUACUAAUGGUAUCAAAUGAGAGUGUAGAUAAUCUGUAAAAAAUGUUAGCCAGGCAGUGGUGGCACACGCCUUUAAUCCCAGUACUUGGGAGGCAGAGUCAGACAGAUCUCUGAGUUCAAGGCCAGCCUGGUCUACAGAGAUUUCCAGGACAGCCAGGGCUUGAAAAAACAAAGCAAAACAAAACAAAACAAAAAAAUCUUAAUAGCCCAAACUGGAAAUGGGUGACUAUUUUCUUCCAAGUUUAUUGUGUUUUGGCAGAGCUGUGGGGACUGGCAGAGGAAAUGUGGGGGGGAUUGGUAGCUGUCUUGACUCACCAGAAGAGGGCGUCAGAUCUCAAUAUGGAUGGUUGUGAGCCACUAUGUGGUUUCUGGGAUUUGAACUCAGGACCUUUGGAAGAGCAGUCAAUGCUCUUACCCGCACAUGACAGUGGUCAUGGCUCUCUGAGUGUCUUCCCUGUUUUGGCAUUUAUAACUGUUAAUCCUAACUUGCAGGAUUUCCCUCCUCAAGCAAAUGAGGACUAGAUUUCUUGACUGGAUCUUUUGUAACUAACAUUGUUUCAUUCAAAUAGUUUAAAAUGUUUUGAGCUGGUCAUGGAGCAGUGUGUUAAGAUGCCACUAUGUCUACAGGUUCUAUCCCUGGGUCCCAAACAGUAGAAAGAACGUACUCCCAUAAAUUGUCCUCUGACCUCCACAUGUGUCCUGUGUGUUGAGAUUUAGGUGUGUACUCUCAUACUGGUUUAUUGUUAACAAUUUCUAGAGACCAGAUUGAGCCAAAUACAUAAAGCUUCAUUUAAUUUUUUGUUUGGCUGUUUCGGCCUGACUUGCUAAGAGCUUAUAAGCAUGUAGGCAGGUCAUCGACGGUUCCAGGGUUUAUAUCACCACCUGUCUUGGCUAGCAGUUGCCCAGUUCCACUUGUUAUUUAAUUGGCAGGCUAUCUUUACCUUAGUGCACCAUGCUCUAUGUCAGAAGUUCCGUACCAGAUACUGUUACAGUUAGCGUAUUGCCAGAAGCUUCUCAUGGCAGUCUUAGUCUUCGGUCUCUCCACUCCUGAACCCCAAGUUCUCUGUUGUUUGUGUGUGUGUGCUUUUUCCCACUCUAAACCAGAAACUGUAUCCUUUUGGGGGCCAUAGGAGCAUAAUUUUUCAAAUAUUAAGGGACAUACAACAAGGUGGAACCCUAGCGGUGGCUGGCAAGCUCUGUCAGAGUUUGACAAAUAUGUAUAAAAAGAAAAUAUUUGUGUAGUAUGACCUGGAAUGUGGUGAUGUGAGGUAAAGCUUUUCUUAGAGCCAAGGAUACAGCUCAGAGUGCCUCGCAUGCCCAAGCUGAUUUUAAACC